GUCUAAACACGCAUGAUUCGACGCAAUCGCUCGUUCGCUUAUACCGAGAAGUCCGCACCAAAGUUGGGAGACCUCGGUUAGAAGGAGAGAGUGG